AGAAAAGAGAAAAUAAACAUAUGACUUAUCAUUCAGUUUUCUGAUUCAUCUCGCGAACUCUCUAGCACCACCAUCGCCCACUGCAGUUCACCUCGUUCAGAUCUCGCCAUCAGAGUUCGUCCUUUUCAGAGCCCAUCGAUCCUCCUCUCUCCUUGGUAGCGUCGUUCAGUCUUUGUCGGAGAUGCAGAAUCGAAGUCGCGCGGUUCAGGAUUUUGCAAUUCCUCUUUGCUACUCUCAUGCAAGAAUCGAGCUAAUCAAAUUUCAGGCUGAGGUCACGGCAUUCAGGGGAGUUUACUUACACCUAUUUUCUUUCCCCUGUUUUUCCUUGCUUUGAAUGAUUGCCUUGAGUUCACAUCGGGAUAAUGUGAAAUACAGUGUGGGGGAAGGGAAUUAGAAAAAUUGACGUAGAACUUGAAUAAUUUGUUCUAAUUUUGCUGGGAUUUGCUUGAAUUGCUUAUUAGUUGGUUGAAAAAUCUGAUGGGUAUUGCCUGGAAAUGCUUUCUGUUGAUAGGGGGAUGAUGAUUUUUGUUUCUAUCAAUAGUAGUUCUGCACUUUUAAUCAGUUUUCAAUGGAUUUCCUUAAGUCCUAUGUUGUUUGUAAAGGAUUGAGCUGCCUUUCUCUUAUAGUUCAAGUCUUAGCAAUACUUUACUAGCUUUAAUAGAAUAGAUUUUCUUUUGCUUACAAUUUUGAAUAGCUUUCUUUGAGGAAUCUCUUGGAUUCAAAUGAGAUAAGCCUUGUUUAAUGGAUUUUGAGUAAUGAGUUGCUUGUUUUUAAACUGAAAUGAUCAAUUCAUGAUUGGAACACUCACCACGAAUCUGCCAUAAUCUUUUUGCAUGUGAAUUGUGUGCUUAAUGCUUUUGCCAAGUUACUUAAAGUGACCCAAAAAAAAAAAAAAAUUUGUCUAUGCUUAUAUGGAAUAAGAGCACAAGCCAUUUAAAUUCUUACUCCGUUGUCCGAUAAUGGACAAGAGUGGAGCUAGUAGCCACCUGAGUUUGUGACUCCAAGUAGCCGGGUGUGGGUAUCACAAAUAUUCACCCUCGCGCCGAAAGGAUGAUGAUAUCUCAGGCAAGCCUAAAAUGUGCUCAAAAUGUGCUGAAACAAUAUGGUAAUCUUUAGUACUUGGCAAUUUCAUUUUUUUAACUAUGUUUGCUUGAGCAUGAUUUUCCUUGGCAGGUUUUGGUAAUUGUUCUGUUGUGAAUUGACUUAAUUAUAUUGGGUUUAAAAUUGUGUGUCCUGAAUUGGUGCAAGGCUCAUUUGUUUGUGUUUGAGAGGUAUUACAAAGGUAGUUAUUCCUUCUUAUGAGUUUUGGAAGAUAAGUUUUGUUUUUGCUAGUUCUCUAUUGCUUGUAUGCUUAAAUUCUUUGGUUGAGCAGCUUUGUUCUAUUUAUUUGGACUAGAAUCUAGUGAAAAGAUGUUGAAAUGUUUAGAUUUUGAUCUUGCUUGAGGACAAGCAAGUGAUAAGUGUGGGGGAAUUUGAUAGAUUGAUAUUUUUAUUGAAUAUUUGAAGGAAAGUCUGUUAAAAAUUGCAAUAUAUUUUGAUAUCUUCAUUAUGAUUUAUUUCCUUUUUUUUGGUUUUGGGCAGUUAAAGGAAAAUUGCUGAUUUGUUGGAAUAUUUUGCUCAUUUGGAGAAAUUCAAGGCAUUGCAAAAAAGGGGGGUGUUUUUCUAUUUUGAAAGUCAAUGAUAUCCAUCUAUUUUUUAAAGCUCUUGGUGGUUACUGGAAGACAAGAAUCAGGGAGAUAUCUUAGGAUUUUAUUUGGUUAUUAUUGGGUUGUAAUUAUCUUUCUAUUUUUGAAUUUUCUCUACUCUACUAUAAAGAGAGAAGGGCUGUUAGUUUAGGGGGCUCAGAGAUUUAUUUAUUUUAUUUAUUAUUAUUAUUUUUUUAGUUUUGACAGUUUAUUAUUCUCUUUAGCUUGAACAAUCAUGAAUGGCUAAAACAUUUUAUUCCAGCUUUAGGUUUAAUCGAAAU
rnacentral:misc_RNA from 1 species